UGCGGGAGCAGCUGGGUGACAGCCAUGAGGAGAGGCCACAGGUCCAUCCCCCGGUCCUCAGUGACAGACCAGCCUGCCAGUUCCCUUCUCUCAGCCACAUUUCUGCCUCCAGGAUUUUCUUUACUAUAAGCAACCUGAAUCCCUUUUGGGGACAGACAGGUGGCGAUACCUGGAUGCAGGGGCGGGGGAGGGGAGAGAAUCCGCCCUGGCCGCCUAGGCGACUCCUGCCCCGCACAUGGCCUUGGGCCCUCCUAGCACCAGGCUCCUGGGACCACACCCUGAGGUGCACCUGCGGACACGUCUGCCACAGACAUGCCAACAAGACAGGAAAUGUCCUUUCCUAUUAGCAUACUGACCGCAUGACGGCGUAGAUCAAGAGAUCCCCAGUCCUGGCCUGAUGACCUGACCUGAUGUCCUGACCCAACACCUGGCGAAGCCCAGGAAGACGUGCCGAGGUCGUGAGGGCAAGCAGCAUUGGACUGCGGAUCUAAACGGCUCAUUUGGGAAGGGGUCUCUGGUCGUCCUUCACUCUCACAUUGUCCACCUGCACAUCCGGACCCGAGGGCAUGGGCAGCGCAUCCUGCGAGGUCCUGACAACCAGGAUAUCUUGCCCUGCGUGGUGAGAGCCACACAGCCCCUCCCCACUCAGGCCAGCCCCCCCCACUGCCCGCUGCCCUGUGUGGUGCCAGGAGCAGGAGGGUGCUGCCCCUGGGACCCUGCGGGGCGACCCCCUUUCCAUCCCCAUCGGAGCCCAGCAGAGAUCUGAGGGGAGACCCCAGUGCCUCCUGGAGGGGCUCUGGCUCAGUCCUCCCCACCUGCUCCCAGUGGGGUCAGCAGAGCAUGCUCUCGGCAUCACACCCUUUAUCAACUCAUGCCCCUUGGGAUGACCCUACCCCCGGGAUGGGGCCUGAGGUAGGAGAGUUGUCACUGGGAGGGAGCACCCAUCCUUGAAAGGCAGACCCCCACCACGACCCCAUGUCACCAGGCCAUUAGGGUUGGCACUCGGGGCUGAGCCCGGGACCCGGAGCUACUGCAGAGAGACCCCAAAUGUGUCCAGACACAGGGACAGGAAGAGUUCUCUUUUCCAC
rnacentral:lncRNA from 1 species